CUGCCCUUCGCCAUCCUGACCCUGGUGAACACCCCGUACAAGCGAGGGUUUUACUGUGGUGAUGAAUCCAUCCGUUACCCCUACCGUCCAGACACCAUCACCCAUGGGCUCAUGGCCGGGGUCACCAUCACAGCCACCGUCAUCCUGGUGUCUGUGGGAGAGGCCUACCUGGUGUACACAGACCGCCUCUACUCACGCUCUGACUUCAACAACUACGUGGCCGCCGUCUACAAGGUGCUGGGGACGUUCCUGUUUGGGGCUGCUGUGAGCCAGUCACUGACAGACCUGGCCAAGUACAUGAUUGGCCGUCUGCGGCCCAACUUCCUGGCCAUCUGCGACCCCGACUGGAGCCGGGUCAACUGCUCAGUCUACGUGCAGCUGGAGGUGUGCAAGGGAAACCCCCUGAAUGUCACUGAGGCCAGGUUGUCUUUUUACUCGGGUCACUCCUCCUUCGGGAUGUACUGCAUGAUGUUCUUGGUGCUCUAUGUGCAGGCGCGGCUCUGCUGGAAGUGGGCUCGCCUCCUACGUCCCACGGUCCAGUUCUUCCUGCUGGCCUUUGCCCUCUACGUGGGCUACACCCGCGUGUCUGACCACAAGCACCACUGGAGUGAUGUCCUCGUUGGCCUCCUGCAGGGAGCACUGGUGGCUGGCCUCACUGUGCGCUAUGUCUCAGACUUCUUCAAAGCCCGACCUCCACAGCGCUGCCUAGAGGACGAGGAGCUGGGACAGAAGCCCAGCCUGUCCCUGACCCUGGCCCUGGGCGACACUGACCGCAACCACUGUGCGUACCCGGUCUCCUCCUCCUGAGGCCAGAGCCCACCCGGGCAGGGCCAUCUGUGAGUCCAGUUGAUGCCCUGGCUGAGGGGCAUGGCCUUGAAAGCCAGGACCACAGCGAUGGUUUUGGCCAAAAGAGAGGAAACAGCUGCAGUGAACACGACUCCAAAUGUGGCUUUCCAGGGGACACAGGUGGCUGAGCUGGGGCAGAGGAGAACGGUGCAGCUGAGAGUCUGGUUGGGGUCUUGGUGCUUCCCAAAGACCCGCAGGACCACAGAUGUGAGCAGAGAAGGAAUGAGCAGUGCUGGCCAGAGUACUUCCCGUGGGAUCCUUGAAAGCUAGAAAGGUCACAGCCUGUGGGAGACAGCCAUCUCUGCUACUGUUUGGGCCUUGGUCAUGUGGACACGUCACACACUGGUCUGCAUCUGAUGAGAAAGGCAGAGAGGCGCAGUGAGGGGUAUAAUCACUUCAUGCCAGAGCUCUGUUGUGGGACUUAGGGCAGGUGUACAUCCAACCUUAGAACUGCACCUGACUUCAGUGAACCCAGUGGGUUCUCUGUCACGUCCUGCUGGAUGGCAUAUUCUUGACCCCAUGGAGACUGAGGGACAAACCGUCCCACCCUCACCAGAAUCUACAGUCCAGCACUAAAGUUCUCAUAGAUCAGAGUAUCAUAUCGAGCCAGAUGUUUUCUUUUCUCAUAUGACGAAACCUGCUCCCCAGCAGUAUUGUUAACCUGGCUGCUCCCCAGGUUACAAUGGAGCUAAAUGAGAUGCAUUGCCAUGUAAUGAAAAGUGAAUUCGAAAAAUAGAACAAUCCCAACAAGAAAACAUUUAAAAUAUUUUAGAUGCUACCUGUAUAGAAAAUCACUUGCAUUGCUAACUUUCAAGUGUAAAAAUAGGAAUAUUUGCAUUGUACAACACAAUAUCAUGUGACUAUCAUAAAAGAUAGUAGAUGACACACUUGGCACAAUAAAACUUUAUGUAUUAAAA